rnacentral:rRNA from 1 species
AGUGAACGCUGGCGGUAGGCCUAACACAUGCAAGUCGAACGGCAGCACAGUAAGAGCUUGCUCUUACGGGUGGCGAGUGGCGGACGGGUGAGGAAUACAUCGGAAUCUACUUUUUCGUGGGGGAUAACGUAGGGAAACUUACGCUAAUACCGCAUACGACCUACGGGUGAAAGCAGGGGAUCUUCGGACCUUGCGCGAUUGAAUGAGCCGAUGUCGGAUUAGCUAGUUGGCGGGGUAAAGGCCCACCAAGGCGACGAUCCGUAGCUGGUCUGAGAGGAUGAUCAGCUACACUGGAACUGAGACACGGUCCAGACUCCUACGGGAGGCAGCAGUGGGGAAUAUUGGACAAAGGGCGCAAGCCUGAUCCAGCCAUACCGCGUGGGUGAAGAAGGCCUUCGGGUUGUAAAGCCCUUUUGUUGGGAAAGAAGAGCAGCAGGUUAAUACCCCGCUGUUCUGACGGUACCCAAAGAAUAAGCACCGGCUAACUUCGUG